UACGGGUGGUGCAAGUGUUAUUCCUCAUGACUAGGCGUAAAGGGUGCGUAGGUGGUAAAAAUGUUUUAAAUUAACAGGAACUUUUUUUUUUUACUUUUUUUUCUAGAAUUUAGAAGAUGAUAGUGGAACUUCAUGCAUUAGAGUUAAAAUUCGUUUUUUAAAACUUAAAGGAAUCACCAAGAGCUAAGGCAACUAUCAAUUU
rnacentral:rRNA from 1 species